rnacentral:tRNA from 1 species
GGUUAUGGCUCAGUGGUAGAGCACUUGCUUAGCAUGUGUGAGCCACUGGGUUCGAUUCUCAGCACCA